AGUGAACGCUGGCGGUAGGCCUAACACAUGCAAGUCGAACGGCAGCACAGUAAGAGCUUGCUCUUACGGGGGGCGAGUGGCGGACGGGUGAGGAAUACCUCGGAAUCUACUUUUUCGUGGGGGAUAACGUAGGGCACCUUACGCUAAUACCGCAUACGACCUACGGGUGAAAGCAGGGGAUCUUCGGACCUUGCGCGAGUGAAUGAGCCGAUGUCGGAUCAGCUAGUUGGCGGGGUAACGGCCCACCAAGGCGACGAUCCGUAGCUGGUACGAGAGGAUGAACAGCUAGACGGGAACUGAGACACGGCCCCGACUCCUGCGGGGGGCUGCGGCGCGGACUAUUGGACAAGGGGGGAGAACCGGAUCUACGGCAACCGCGUGGGGGCAGAAGGAGUUCCGGUGCGAGCGCCCUUAUGUUCGGAGAGUAAAGCAGCAGUUUAGGGCGGCGCUGUUCUGACGGUACCCACAGAAUAAGCACCGGCUAACUUCGUG
rnacentral:rRNA from 1 species